rnacentral:rRNA from 1 species
AUUGAACGCUGGCGGCAUGCUUUACACAUGCAAGUCGAACGGCAGCACGGACUUCGGUCUGGUGGCGAGCGGCGGACGGCUGAGUAACGCGUAGGAACAUGCCCCAAAGUGAGGAAUAACUGCCCGAAAGGGUGGCUAAUGCCGCAUGUGGUCUUCGGACUAAAGCUUUAUGCGCUUUGGGAGUGGCCUGCGUCCGAUUAGCUUGUUGGUGAGGUAAUGGCUCACCAAGGCGACGAUCGGUAGCUGGUCUGAGAGGAUGAUCAGCCAGACUGGAACUGAGAACGGUCCAGACUCCUACGGGAGGCAGCAGUAGGGAAUUUUCCACAAUGGGCGAGAGCCUGAUGGAGCAACGCCGCGUGCAGGAUGAAUGCCUUCGGGUUGUAAACUGCUUUUAUGUGCGAAGAAUUUGACUGUAACACAUGAAUAAGGAUCGGCUAACUACGUGCCAGCAGCCGCGGUAA